AUUGAACGCUAGCGGCAUGCCUUACACAUGCAAGUCGAACGGCAGCACGAACUUCGGUUUGGUGGCGAGUGGCGAACGGGUGAGUAAAGCAUCGGAACGUGCCUUGUAGUGGGGGAUAACUAUUCGAAAGAGUAGCUAAUACCGCAUACGAUCUAAGGAUGAAAGUGGGGGAUCUUCGGACCUCAUGCUAUUAGAGCGGCCGAUGUCAGAUUAGCUAGUGGGUGAGGUAAAAGCUCACCAAGGCGACGAUCUGUAGCUGGUCUGAGAGGACGACCAGCCACACUGGGACUGAGACACGGCCCAGACUCCUACGGGAGGCAGCAGUGGGGAAUUUUGGACAAUGGGCGAAAGCCUGAUCCAGCAAUGCCGCGUGUGUGAAGAAGGCCUUCGGGUUGUAAAGCACUUUUGUUCGGGAAGAAAAGGUUUGUGUUAAUACCAUAAGCUGAUGACGGUACCGAAAGAAUAAGCACCGGCUAACUACGUGCCAGCCGCCGCAGUAA
rnacentral:rRNA from 1 species